GUGCUGUUCUGGAAGGCAGAGCAGGCUGGACAUGUACCUGGGGGUGUUUUAGAGGCGACUGGAAGAUCAAGGUGUUCAGCUUAGUGGCUGAGAAGCUCUAUGAGCUUCUCCUGAGCAGCCUGCCCACCCCCACGGACCACAGCUGGCAGGUGAGGUGGGCGCCCACUGGCUCAAUUCCAGUGGGGCAGCCUUAUCCUCCUCCACAGCUGUCCCUGGAGCGGAAGAGCUCAGAGCUCCUCACGUGCACAUACUCCUGUGCCCAGGUGUCCAUGAGGGCUGGUUUGGGAAGGACAGCGGGAUGGUUGUGCAGGGGGCAAAGAAGCUGGUUCACUCCCCAGACUGCAUCAGGGAUGUGCCAGGCUGAAGCCAGGAGCUUCUUCUGGGUCUCCCAUUGGGUGACAGUACCCCAGCACUUGGACCAUCUUCCCCCGCCUUCCCAGGCACAUCAGCAGGGAGCUGGAUCAGAUGCGAACCAGCGCUCUGAUAUGGGAUGUUGGCUUCACAAACGCAGCUUAAAAUGCUGGCCUGUCUUCAAAGGUCUUAAUUCCUUUAGAAGUAGUGGCACAGAUGGGGCGUGGCACACGCUGCAGUCUUGCCUCCAGGAUCCUCAGCUCAGGGCUAGCAAGCUCGGGCCCACUGGCCAUAGCCUCUUUUCUAUGGCCUGCAAACUAAGAAGAGUUUUUACAUUUUUAAAUGGUUUAAAAAAAUUGAAAGACUAUUUUAUAGCACGUGAAGAUUAUAUGAAAUUCCAGUGUCCACACCCACAAUUAAAGUGCGUGUUGGCAUACAGCCACAUCCACCCAUUUGUUUACAUAUUGUCAACAGUUACUUUCUUUUUAUUAAAAAAAAUGCAUUCAUUUAUUUGAAAGGCAAAGUUACAGAGAGAGAAGGACAGAGAAAGAGAUCUUGUAUUCGCUGGUUUACUCCCCAAAUGGCUGCUAUGGCCAGGGCUGCACCAGACCGAGUUCAAGAGCCUGGAACUCCGUUUGGGUCUCCCACGUGGGUGGCAGAGGCCCAGGUACUUGGGCCAUCUUCCCCUGCUUUCCCAGGCACAACUCAGGGAGCUGGAAGUGAAGCAGCUGGGACUCUAAUCUGAGCUCAUAUGGGAUUCUGCUGUUGCAGGUGGCAGCUUAACAGGCUGCACCACAAUGCCUGCCCCAACAGCUACUUUCUUGCUGCUACAGGGGGGUGGGUUGACCCACAAGGCUAAUAUGUUUACUUGCUGGCCUUUUGCAGAAAAACUUGGCCAAUCCCUGGUGACCACCAUUGAGCCCAAGCCCCUGGCAAACACUUCUAUAGUGAAUGAAUGGAUACAUUCAUGAGAGUCUUGGAAAGAGUGAAUGGUGAAGGACCGGGAAAGAAAGACAGACAAAGUUACAAAGAGAAAGGAAGACAGAGAGAGAGAGAGAGAGAUAUCUUCCAUCUGCUGGUUCCCUCUCCAAGUGCCACAACAGCCAGGGCUGGGCCAGGUCAAAGCCAGGAGCCUGGAACUCCAUCUAGGUCUCCCAACCAACAAUGAUUGAGCACCGUCCGUGUGACAACACAGUGGGGACACCAGCCAGGGACUCCACCUGCCCUGCCCUGCUUCCCAGGGCUGUCACAUUGGACCCUGUGGGUGAAGAGCCCUAAUCCAAAAGGAAAGAAGUGCAGACUAGACUAAGCAUCAGGUUUCCCAGGCUUCGUCAGUGCAAUCCACCUUCCCAGAAGGCUCUGCUGCACAGCCACGCCAUUACGGUCAACACCUGCCAGCUAGAAGCUGACUGGGCAUGGCAGCCACCCAGGCCACAACUGAGCACAACUGAGUGUGCUCCCUUGGAGAGUUCAUAUCUCCAGCACCCAGCCAGAGCCAGCCUCCCAGCCCCCACCACCUCCAGGCGGCUCUGCAGGGUGAGUGCUGUGCCUGAGCCAUAGGAAGACAGAAGGGACCUGCUUCAGUUCUGCUGCUGUUUGCCUUGUGCAUGUCUUUUGGAACUUUCUGAGCCUCAGUUUCCUAAUCUGUGAGAUGGGAGAGUAGUGGCACAACCUCUCAAGGUGGUUAUGCGGCUAAAAUGAGAGGAUGCAUGCAGAGGGCCACAGGCAGGUUGGGGCAGAGCAGACAGUCACUAAAUAGAACAUAUUUUUGGUUUAAAAAAUCUUUUUUGAAGUUACUUUAUUUUGAAGCAGAGAGAUAAAUGGAGAGAGAGAAAGACACAGAGAGAAGAUCUUCCAUUUGCUGGUUUACUUCCUAAAGGCCUGCAAUGGCCAGGGUUGGGCCAGGCUGAAGCUAGGAGACUGGAAUUCAAUCCAAGUCUCCCACAUGGAUGGUAGGGACUUAACUACCCGAGCCAUCACCUGCUGCUUCCCAGGGUGCACAUUAGCAGGAAGCUGGAAUCAACAGCAGAGCAAGAACUGAAGCCCAGACUCUCUGAUGUGGUAUGUGGGCUUCCCAGCGGAUGUCUUCAGUGCUGCACCAGACGCCUGCCUUCUUGUGUCCCGUUUUGUCCUCUAAAAAUUGAGAGAGAUGAGACAAUCUGUAAAGGCCCUGCUGCCUCGGAGAAAACAGAGGUGCUAAGGAUCCGGUGGGCAAGCCCCAGGCAGAUGGGAGGACCAAAAGGGAGGCCACACUGCCUUUGGAGCGAACAGCGACCCUGAGCUCAGGGUUACCCAAGAAGGAUUUUGCAGGCAGCGGCCCCAGCCCAGGCUGCCCCAGCCCUCCUGCCUCUGGGGCUCUCGGGUCUGCCUCCUGCUUGUCCUCAGCCCUGCCAGCACACAUGCCGGCAGCCAGGAGUCUGCUCACUGAUCUGCCAAGCUCAUGGCCAUGAGGAAAUAUGCUUCCAGAUAGGGUGAAAAUAGCAUACUCUCCAAAUAUGCUCAUCAUGCCUAAGAAAAAUAAAUAAAACCAAGGAGGAAAGAGAGCAGUGAGCAGGCAUCAGACAAGGCCAGUCCUGGGCGACUCAGCAGGGGCAAGCUGCCUGCAGGCCAGGGCGGGAGUGGGGGGUGGUGAGCGUGUGUGUGUGAGUGUGUGCAACUGAGUGGGUCUG